CCCGGACCACCAUCCGAAAGCCAGUCUCUUAUACAAAGGAGAAUUCCUGCCUACAAAGUAGUUUUCCACCUCCGACUCCUCCCCACAGCGAACAGCCCUUCUGGAUCCAACUAACCCACCGACCCCAACAGGGCCCAGCACCCACAGGGUUCACAAUCCAGAGGAGCUACAAGCCCUGUUACUCGCAAGUCUCGAGCGCCCAACUCCAACUGACCUUCCCUCUGCCAGAGCAAGAACACCACGAGUACCCGCCGAGAGCGAACCUGGCUACACAAAGCCAGGCGCCCGACCAGAAGGACCCUCGGGGAUGCCCUCCGCCCCUGGGGCUUCCCCGACCAGCCCCGCCGGGCGCCCCGCGCUCACCAGCUCUCCUCCCCCUCCUCCCAGCCUGACAGACGCUCCAGCUAGUCCAGCAAGCCGCCCUCCCCCCGCCGCCAGCAAGGAGGUGGCGUCCCGCAGCUUCUGGUUACUCUUCCGCCUCGGGUACAUACGGCCCCGCCGCACGACUCGGCGCUGAGGCCCAAGGGGAAGCCCCGAGGGGACCCCGCGCCGUAGGAGGGAGUGGAGGCGCUGGCGAACCACCCUGCCGGGCCGAUGGAGCCGAGGCCCCGCACAGCGCGAGCGGCUCCUCAGCUGUUCGUGCUGCUUCCCCAGCUUCUUCACCGGCUCCUGCAGCUUCCGCACCUCUUGGUCCGCGUUCACGUUGGAGUUAACGUCCUCCAUCCCGGCCCGGCUGCCUCCGUCGCCCGCCGCCCACUCGCUCUCGCAGCAACAGGGAAAGAGCCGGAGGAAAGAGGCGUCCCCGCCACUCAAACCCACAGACAGACCCCCCAGCGCGGGUCCCGAAGUGCCGCUGGCGCCAGCCGAACCGCCUCCUCGGCGCCGGUCCGGGGUUCAGGGAGGCAGCACCAAUAUCUGGCCUCUGCCGCCAUCGUCCCUCCGCCCCCCGAGGGUCGCCCCUGUAAGUGACCUCAAAGCGUCGGGGGUGGGCGUGGCCGCCGGCGGGCGUUGAGAGAACCCGGCGCAGAGAGGAUCACCGAGCUCCCGACAGGGCGGGGCCAGGUGUGUGAGGGGCGGGGAUUGGGCCAGGAGGGGCGUGUCCGGACUGCUGGCUGAAGUGGCGCGCUACUGGACGCGCCACUGAAAGUCCCUGCGGUCCCGGAGGCGAGCAGAAGGUAUGCCGCGAGCCGGGCCGAGGUGGUGAAC